GUGGUUGCCAGAUGGGUGCUCUCUACUAGUGCUGUGCAGAGGCUAUCACUGAGGCUUCUGUGAGACUGUAGAGUUUCCCCCCUGGGCCACAGAGCCAG
rfam:Equus caballus chromosome 10, whole genome shotgun sequence.